AAGGAAAUUUUUGCAAUAAAAGAGGCUGCUAACUAUCUUUUAUAAUGGUUAAAUUCCAUUUUUUCCUUU
rnacentral:tRNA from 2 species